GUAGCCAAGUGGUUAAGGUGUCUGCCUAUGGUGCACAUGGUUGUGAGUUCGAUUCCCGCC
rnacentral:tRNA from 1 species